UCGAGCAUAUAAAAGGGAUAUCUAAAAGAAGGAAAAAUAAAGAACCAAAUAUAAGGAGGAGGAGGACUACUUCGCAAUGUCGAAGAUGAAACAAAACUAUGUCUAAAAAGGCUACAUGGCCUACUUGCUGAUAACGGACAUAGGAGUAAUGAUUUCCUUAGGUCUUUAAAGCAACUUAACAUGCAGAGAAAAGGAAGGGUCCUUGUAAAAAAGAAAACUCUUAAAUUGAGUCAAAUUCGACAAAAGUUUCACCAAAUCGAGUCCGAGACAACGCAGCAAAACUUCUUCAGAACUGAAUCUGUCCAGCAACCAUCACCAUAAGACUUAACAAAUCACUAGAAGGCUAAGUAAAUGAUAUAAAUGUGUUUUCCAUAGAUUUCACAACCUGCAACAAAAAAAAAGAAAAACUAUUUAUAAUUCCAUCAGAGUGGAAAGGAACAAACGAGAUUGGCCACAACGACUUUCCCUGCCCCUAAGGACUGAAGAAGCUCUCUAGAAGAAAGAGAGAAUCUUUUCCUAGAAGGAUCUAGAAAGAAAUUAUUUUAUUUAAAAUUUCUUUUUUUUGGCUAAAACAAUAAUUUGAGUUUAUAUUAUAAUUUUAAUUUUACGAAUUAAAAUUUGGUUAAUCAAUAACUACAUAAACUAGUUUUUUAGUAUGUGCGUUGCACAUUAUUUUAUCAUUUUCAACAAUAUUUAUUUAUUUUUAUCAAUUUUAAACAAAUUUUUAAUGUUUAUAUAUAAAAUGUAUUUAUUUUUGAGUUUAUAUAAUUUAGAAAUGUAUAAAUAUAUUUAUCAUGUUAAUUUAAACAUGAAAUUUGAUUUCCAUUUACACAUUCCAACUAAUUAUACAAAUAUAAAAAUAUUAAAAAUUGCUAGCACAAUCUUUGAAAUGAAUCAUAAAUAUGAAUAUUAAUGGUUGAAUACCUCAUUUUCAUUUUAAAAGAACAAUAUAAUUUUAUUAUAUUUUUAAAAUUCACCAUUUAUAAUAAUAUAUAUACAAAAGAAUUAGUUUCCUAAUUUAGGAUAAAUUUUGAUAAAUAUUUUUAAAUUCAUCAUAUAUAAUCACAUAUAUUAUUAAUAUUAUAUAAAUAUUAUAUUGCUUUUAUAAAAGGUAUUAACAAUGUAUGUAUUAGUUAAAAUUUCUUCUUCUUUUUUUGAAUACAUUUCUUUUAUUUUCUUGUACUCACUUUUUUCAUUGAAAAUUUAUUUAUAUAAAAUUUUAAAAUUAAAAUUUAUCAUCAUUUUAAUUACAUAGAUGAACAUUAAACUUUUUCCUCAUAAAAAACCAUUGGUUUUUAAUUAAAAGAAUAUUUAAAAUGUGAUACAUUAUAGUUAUCAAUAAAUUAAAUAGAGUACAAAUUUUAUUAUUUUUUAUUUUUUAUUUGUUAAUCAAUUUGUAUAUAAAUCAAAUUAAACGGAAAAAAGGAUUUUUUUUGUGUUUAUUUAAAAAAUUAUAAUAUUUCAUUGCACAUUAAAAUCAUUAUUUAAAAUUUCAAUUUUAUAAAGUGAAAGUAACGUUUUUUUAUUGUAAUAAAACAAAAUUUUAAUUAAAAGAAUUUAAGUAUAGAAAAAUAAGAAUUUAAAAUUUAUAUAAACUUUAUAAAUAAUUGUAAUAAUAAAAUUUAAAAUAAGUUAAUUGUAGCAAUUAAUUAAAUUUAGUCUUGAUUGAUAUAAAUUAUAAAGGAUAAAAAAAAUAGACCAAAAUAUUGAAUCUUUUAAAAGAAAGCAUAAAUUUGUAAUUUUUGUGGAAGUCACAUUUUUAAUAAAUUUCAUACUUUUUUAAUUAUUUUUCAAAAUUUUAUUUAAAUUGAAGAUUAAUAUAAAUAAAUAGGAAUAAAAACUUCUAAUUUAGUUAAAUAUCAAAAUAAAAAGUUUUUUCGGCAAAAAAAAAAGUUUUUAGUUUAAUUAAUUUAAAAAACAAAAAGUGGAAGAUUAAAAAUUAAAAUUAAUUUAUAUAUAUAUAUAUAUAUAUGAAGGAACUUACUGAUAUAUCGCCGAACUUUGCUGUACGAGUCUAUGAGAGCACGAGAAACAGGUCUCCUCGAGUGGAGCUCCAAAUUCGCUUGAGCUUACUUUUCCACCUCUC
rnacentral:lncRNA from 1 species